UAUUUUUUCUUCUGUCACCAUCACACUGAGAAGAAUCUUCAGAUCUUUAAGCUAUUUUUGUCCACUAUUUUAUUUCAUCAUUUUUUUUUGAGUUUACACUGAUAUCAUUUCCAUGAUGUCAGGUAAGGAAAUAACAUGGAGUUGUAAAAGUAUUUGAACAAUGCCAGACUUGAAAGUAGACUAGAUAUAGAAUCCAGGUCAGUUUCUGGCCUUGAUUCCCAACCACUGUCUUCUCAGCACAGAAACCACACCAAUUAUUUUCUUUUUAUUCCUAGUUCAUAUAAUACUAUGUUCCAUUUUUUUUGUAGAAAAUCAAUCUCAUUUGCUAAAAUAAUAUAAGUAAUUUUCCAUGAUUGCUAAUUUUGCAUAUAUAAAUUCCAAACCAGAAAUUUAGCUAUGAUCAAAAAAAAAAAAAAAGAAGAAGAAAGUAAAAUAAAGAAAAAAAGAAAGGAGAGAAAGAAAAAAACCAAAACCACCAAAAAUAAGAGUUAAAUAUGUCAUUGUAGAAGUGCAUAUAAAGUUCUGAGGGGCAGACGAUACAGAUCAGUGGCAGAAGACUUACCUAACAUUGCAACUAUUAAAAAAAAUUCAUUAGAUUAUAGAAAACCUUGAAAAUAAUGAUCAGUGUUUAUAUUUGUUUAUUUAGUAACAUAUGCUAAUACUACAAAAUGUUGCAUACUCCUGUGACAUAAAUCACAUGUUUCUUAGACUCAGCCCUUGUUGGGUUUCUUCUGCCUUUUAUCAUCCUUCUUUUCAUAAAUAACCCCCUUUUACUUCCACAGUCCUUAAAUCUAGAUCCCAUAUCGUAGAGAAGCAUAUGAUAGCCGGCUUUCUGAAUGUCUCUUUACUUUUAAUUUUUAUUAUUUAACUUUUACAUCUACUUAUAAAAUCUAUUUUAGUCACUUUUCCCUGCAGUCUUUUUCCCUUUUCCCCCUAGAACCCUUCUCCUUAGCAAGGCCUUCUUGUUUCACGUGUUUUUUUAAUGUGUGUGGCUACAAUAUCAACUCUGCAUAUUGCUUUAGAAAGUUCAAGUGCCUCAAUGAAUAUUAAUGUACUUGUUCUUAUUUUUUCUGAUGAGUUCUUUUUAGAAUAAAGUGACAUUUUGGAAGAUCUCCGACUUGAAUGUCACAACACCCAAAACGAGCAAAUCUCUAAAGGUUUGACAAAUAGGCAGUGCUAAUCAAUCAGAGUCAGCUUUACAGUGAAAUGAGCUGGCGAGCAGUCCUUGUCAGCACUGUACUCUAGGAAGAACACAGGUAUCUCCAGAGUUGGCACAAAUAAUGUUAUUUCUUAACCUCUCUUUUAUCACCAUUUCUGUACAGUGGGAAAUAUUUGUUGGGAUAACUUUACAUAAACCACACACACAUUUUAAUACCUAUGCUAUUUAAAUCUUUCUGUGGAAUUGUGGCAAAAGGAAGAUUUCCAGAUAUUUUGUUUACUACAGAUUUGUUUUGCUACAAAUGAACCACCUAAUACUUACAAGCCUAAAACAACUAGAACAUUCAUUUCAUUCAAGAAUUUAUGAUUUGCAUAGAGCUAAUGCCACUAGUUUAUUUGUGCUUCAUGUAGCACUGGCUGAGUGGACCAACAUAGAUGGAUGGAGCUUCUUCUAAUAGUUCCCCCACAUGCCAGAGAAUACAUAGUGCCCUAGGCCAGAGGCUCAGCUGGCCUACUCUGUGGGCAGUUGAGACUAACAACAGUAUCUGAUCCUAAAUAUGAGGUUUUUCAUGAGAUAAGAGGUAAAUGGUACUUGCUGGCAAAACUGCAACAAAUCAACCCGCCAAGCAAUCAAACAACAACAAAACCACCCAAUUCUCUGUAUCACUUCUUUGUAGUUCUAUAGAUGAAAGCAAUACCAGAGCUACCCAUCUAUGAGUUAGAGAGACUCUGCUUCUCAAAAGAAAGAGUGUAAAGGAAUAUUGACCAUCUUUAUUCUACCAGGAUGCUAUUAUUUUAUGUCUGAAUAAGAUAUUAAAAAUAAGAAAAUUAUGGGAAGUACCUAUCCUUUAUUCAAUGAUUUAGCUAUUAUUUAUCAAAUAUCUUACCAGACAGGAAGCUACAAACUAUACUGCUAAAUUCAUUUUGUCAUUUAAUCUUUUAAUAUUUCUAUUCUGCAAAUUUACUCAGUGACUAUUUAAUAUUUUUCAAAAGGAUAUGUUUCUAAAUGUAAGGUUUUAAAGUACCAUGACUUAAUAUCUAUAAUUGAUCUUAUUAUAAAUGUUAUUAUAAGUUGAUUCAUUUGUUAAGAUCAUUGGGACAGAAAGUGAUCCCUAAAAUUCAUGAUUC
rnacentral:lncRNA from 1 species